UACGUAGGGGGCAAGCGUUGUCCGGAAUCAUUGGGCGUAAAGAGCGUGUAGGCGGCCCGAUAAGUCCGCUGUGAAAGUCCAGGGCUCAACCCUGGGAUGCCGGUGGAUACUGUCGGGCUCGAGUCCGGAAGAGGAGUGUGGAAUUCCUGGUGUAGCGGUGAAAUGCGCAGAUAUCAGGAGGAACACCAAUGGCGGAGGCAGCACUCUGGGACGGUACUGACGCUGAGACGCGAAAGCGUGGGGAGCAAACAGG
rnacentral:rRNA from 1 species